UAAUGAACCAUGUUUUGAGUGAAGUGUCGAAGCUUCAACAAAGCCUCGAUCAGCCAUCACUAGGAGCAGCUGGUGGCAACCAAUCCUCCUUGCAGUCCUCUGCUGUGGGAGUUUAUGAGGAAUGUGUAUCCUGGAGGCAUCAGCUGCAUCAUCAGCAAAGGAGACUGGCUGUUCAGACUAGGAGGGGGACCAGCUUAUGAUCGUGUUGGUACCAAGGACAGCAUCAUGAUCCGUGUCCCUGACCACACGGUGAUCGGACACUAUUAAUGAUGUGAUAUCACUGGACCUUUUGCUAUUAGGCAGACAGCACUCACCACAGCAUGGUCAUCAAGGAAGUGUCUCCUUGAGUAACUGUAUUGUACUAAAAUACAAACACUGACAUAAUUUAUGAUGCUAUGUAGGAUCCACCAGCCAUUUUCAACAGUGAAACAGAACCAGAGCAGGUUUUGUUUAUUCCCCCGCCUAUAGCUCUGGAGUCCUAACACCUCUGCAGCCACAGGAUGGAGACAGGCUCCCCCUUUGAUCAGUGAGGCAAGAGGGACACCAGGACACCACACCAGAUGUGGAACAAUGUCUGGCACGAGGGCGCAAAGCACUGAGUCAGCAGGAAGCGAGCAGAAGAUCAGACUUUAAAGGAUUCCUCUAUACAGACUCCCAGGAUGUGUACUGGACCUGUCUCCAACCAAGAGACUGGGUUAAACCCCCAGCCACCACCUGGCCUCCAAGGAACCAAAUUGCCGGCAAUAAAAAUUCUGACUGAUUCCUGAGCCAUAGAUGGGGGGAGGCUCAGAAACCUGGAGGACAACUUCAGAGACAUUCUAUUCACUGACAAAGGAACUCUGAACUCACAUCAGAACUAACAAAGACAGUCCCACAAUUCUGGACUCAACUCCUUUACAUGUACAGUCAUUUCACAGAACAAAUGAACUUCUCAAUAACUUAACAGUCAGUCUACAUUAUGUCUUGCCUGUAAUCUUUCAUUUCUCCUGAUUGGUACCAACAUAAUAUGUCUUAACAUAUCUGCUAGUCACAUGAUCAUAUUUUGUAUCAUUCCGAUACACUCUUGGUUAGUAAUGCACCUAGAUAAAUAAUGCUCACCAAAUUUCUAUAUUUUUGGAGUUACAGAUACCACAAAAUUAUCUUCACAUGUAAUUAUGCGGGGGACAUCUGGUUGAUAGACAUCAUUAAUCAUAGUUAGUUGUUGUUGUCUUGUUUGCUGUUAGUAAAUAAAUGUUUUGUAACGAA